CCUACGGGGGGCAGCAGUGAGGAAUAUUGGUCAAUGGGCGGAAGCCUGAACCAGCCAAGUAGCGUGCGGGAUGAAGGCCCUACGGGUCGUAAACCGCUUUUGCACGGGGAUAACACCCUCCACGUGUGGAGGUCUGCAGGUACCGUGCGAAUAAGGGCCGGCUAAUUCCGUGCCAGCAGCCGCGGUAAUACGGAGGGUCCGAGCGUUAUCCGGAUUUAUUGGGUUUAAAGGGAGCGUAGGCGGGCGUUUAAGUCAGCGGUAAAAUCGCGCGGCUCAACCGCGCCCCGCAGUUGAAACUGGGAGCCUUGAGUUGACAACAGGCAGGCGGAAUUCGUGGUGUAGCGGUGAAAUGCAUAGAUAUCACGAGGAACUCCGAUUGCGAAGGCAGCCUGCCGGGGUGCGACUGACGCUGAGGCUCGAAGGUGUGGGUAUCAAACAGGAUUAGAUACCCUAGUAGUC
rnacentral:rRNA from 1 species